rfam:Mycobacterium scrofulaceum strain E2838 contig_85, whole genome shotgun sequence.
CCUCGGCCAUCAGCUGCGGGCAGAUCAGGUGCACAUGGCAGUCGACGGCGCCGGCGGUGACGAUGCGGCCGUUGCCGGCGAUGACCUCGGUGGACGGACCGACCACCAGGCCCGGGUGCACGCCGGUCAUGGUGUCGGGGUUGCCUGCCUUGCCGAUCGCGGAGAUGCGCCCGUCGCGAAUGCCGAUGUCGGCCUUGAUGAUUCCCCAGUGGUCGAUGAUCACCGCACCGGUGAUCACGGUGUCGGGCGCGCCCUCGGCGCGGGUGGCACGGCCCUGGCCCAUCGACUCGCGCAG